rnacentral:rRNA from 1 species
GACGAACGCUGGCGGCGUGCCUAAUACAUGCAAGUAGAACGCUGAAGGAGGAGCUUGCUUCUCUGGAUGAGUUGCGAACGGGUGAGUAACGCGUAGGUAACCUGCCUGGUAGCGGGGGAUAACUAUUGGAAACGAUAGCUAAUACCGCAUAAUAGUAGAUGUUGCAUGACAUUUGCUUAAAAGGUGCAAUUGCAUCACUACCAGAUGGACCUGCGUUGUAUUAGCCAGUUGGUGGGGUAACGGCUCACCAAGGCGACGAUACAUAGCCGACCUGAGAGGGUGAUCGGCCACACUGGGACUGAGACACGGCCCAGACUCCUACGGGAGGCAGCAGUAGGGAAUCUUCGGCAAUGGACGGAAGUCUGACCGAGCAACGCCGCGUGAGUGAAGAAGGUUUUCGGAUCGUAAAGCUCUGUUGUAAGAGAAGAACGAGUGUGAGAGUGGAAAGUUCACACUGUGACGGUAUCUUACCAGAAAGGGACGGCUAACUACGUG